CUCGUGUUUCCGAUUGAGUGCGGACUGUUUUGACGCGCGCUCAAUUAUCGUUCCUGGAAUAGCGCAUUGUUGCGUCUACUGCACAAACUCUUAUAAAGAGAUAGUGCCAGAAGAUAAGAGCAGCAAAUCUGGCACUCGGUCGCCGUCUUUAUCAGUAAAAGAAAGCCGCUUUAGCACGAAGAAGAGUAAUAUCCAGUGAGAGAUGGUGGUGCACCGACACCUCCUCACACACCACCUCAUCCUUCCUCACACACCUCCUCAACCUUCCUCACACAUUGCAGUGCUACCUUGAGGGCCCACAAUUCGGACCAAUUUCAAUAGGGGAUUUGCAUGGAACUUGCACACCUUGCUCAACGGAUGCCUAUCUGCAAGGGUGCCAAUUAUGAACGAAAUCGAUAGACGUCAAGCUCAGCUACAGGUGGCCAAACUUUGAUCUUUUUUACUCAGGGUGUGAUGCUGAAACUUGGACCAGUUGCAGCCAUCUCUAUAUCCAUUUCACAAAUAAAUUUAUAAACAAAUUGAACAACGUUUAGUUUACCGUGAUAUGCCCACUUUUUGAAGGAAGACCUUACAGAGUACUUGCAGACUACAUGUGACGCAUAAAAUCCAUGGGAGCGGGGUACAACUGUCAAACUGACAGGACCAACUUUCGCACGUCCGACCUUGUCAACGUGUCGCCUCAGACUGGUGGUGCCAAAGAGGCGCGAUCUCCGAACCCUCCUGCCUUUGUGACGUCAUACUUGCCAGGGGCGGUUUUCAUUGGCUCCCUGUGCCACGUCACUGUCAGUGACCAAUCUGGUGCCACUGACGUCACAAAGUUUUGGCGGCA